AUGGAACAAGUUGACAUUUGGGCGCCCAUCUUGGCCGAUCCUCUUCCAAGCCAACAGGCGGAGAUUAAAGUUCACUCAACAUAUGUGGAUUACGGCACCAUGGACUUUCAAGCACUCUUGGAAGGACCCCAUGAUUUGGACAGAUGGCUGAAAGGUGCAUUCAUUCCUACUUAUAUAAAGGAGGCGAAUUUAACUCAUGAGAAUGAAUGCAAAUUUUAUUCACCAACUAGUGAUCAUGGCAUGACAAUACAAACACCUAUGGCUGAGAAAGAGGAGGCCCCUGCCACCACGACUCUCAAUGGCGGAGGAGGAGAAGACGAGGAGAUGAGAGAGGGAGGAGGGGCCAUGUACCCAUCGCCUUGUCACCGGAGAAGCAGAAGGCUUGCGGCCACCGCCACACCAUCGGAGGAGGGGACCUGCGAUCUACUAGAUUACAUACCAAAAAGUGGUUGGAGGCAUGGAAGUCGUGUGAGAAGUGCACGCGAGAGAGGAACAUGGUCGAUAAACAUUGAACCAUGCUCCCGGGACUUGUGUUCUGCAAGUGAAGGCCAAAAACAUGGGAGCAGAAGAAACAAUGACCAUUGGACAUCUGAAGAGGUGAAAGAACUAGUGGAUGGCGUAUCUGUAUAUGGGGUUGGACCAUGGACUAAGUUGAAGAAUGAAAGGUUUCAAAUAUCAAUUCGAACAGCUGUGCAUCUUAAGGUAUAG
rnacentral:rRNA from 1 species